UUCCAAUAAAAGCUCAGAUUUCAGUUACUAAAAAGAGUAUUUUUGUCGCUGUUGUUGUAGCAAUGCGUUGUGUUUCAUCCAUUCGUUAUCGUGAUGUGCCGUAUAAACUGCCUUUAAGAUUUAACACUCGCGUUAGUCAUAGGCUCAUCCUUGGUUCGUGUUGAUUACAACUUUUGCCGAAAACGCCGAAAAUUUGAAUAAAAGAAAAAACGAAAUAUCGCAAGCCAUUCAAACAUGUUGUGUCUUUAACUUUUGUCACUGGUUAUCCCGUAUAUCACCCUAAAGCCAAACUUUCUUCUUUCUCACAUUCUUUACUCAAAACAACCAAGGAUGCAUUUAUAAGCAAAUCUAAAUGGCAAAGGCUUAAGAUGGCACAGCUGUGAUUUUUUUUUAAAUCUUAAAAAACAUGUUCUAUUUGAUCCGAUAUACAUAUAUGAAACACAUUUGAAGAA